GGAUCAAUGAUGAGUUUUUAAAACUGAAUCAUUUUUGAAUAUGAACAAAAUGAGUGACCAAACCACUUCUGUGAUCUGAGGUCC
ensembl:snoRNA SNORD116 Small nucleolar RNA SNORD116